AUAUUUUUUCUUUUUUUACUUUGCCUCCGUACCGAAACCACACUUUACUAUCACCACAACACAUAGCGGGCGCGCACCCAUCCGCUUCUCCCUCUCCUCUCAAAAUUGAAAAACCCUAACCUGGAGGCCUUCCACUGCAAACCUACCGAUCCCUAAUUCCGUCUCAUCAUCAGAGAUUGAAAAUGAGUAGGCGUGGGAGCAGAACAGUCUACGUUGGCAACCUCCCUGGUGAUAUUCGUGAAAGAGAAGUAGAAGAUUUGUUUUCAAAGUAUGGACAUAUAACUCACAUUGAUCUCAAGGUUCCGCCAAGGCCUCCUGGCUAUGCAUUUGUGGAGUUUGAAGACUAUCAAGAUGCUGAGGACGCGAUUCGAGGGCGUGAUGGAUAUGAUUUUGAUGGCCACCGCUUGCGGGUGGAGCCUGCACAUGGAGGGCGUGGUCAUUCAUCUUCAAGAGAUCGAUAUAGUAGUCACAGCAACGGUCGAGGUGGACGUGGGGUAUCUAGGCGCUCGGAAUAUCGUGUUCUGGUCACUGGAUUGCCCUCUUCUGCUUCAUGGCAGGAUCUUAAAGAUCACAUGCGAAAGGCCGGGGAUGUUUGCUUUUCCCAAGUUUUCCAUGAUGGAAGAGGAACUACUGGGAUUGUGGAUUACACAAACUAUGAUGACAUGAAAUAUGCUAUCAAGAAGCUUGACGACUCUGAGUUUCGGAAUGCAUUUUCCAGGGGCUAUGUUCGGGUGAGGGAAUAUGAUUCAAGGCGGGAUUCCUCUAGAAGUCCUAGUCGUGGCCCAUCUCAUUCUAGAGGAAGAAGCUAUAGCCGCAGCCGCAGCCGCAGUCGUAGCUACAGUCGGGGCCGGAGCCCAAGCAAAUCUCCAAAGGGGAAGUCUUCACCACGGUCACCAGCUAAAUCUCCACCAAGAUCUGCUUCCCGUUCUCGUUCAAGAUCAAGGUCUCGUUCUUUAUCAGGAUAUGGAUACUUGCGGCAAACUGGAAAAUGGAAAUUAGGAACUUGGUGGGAUUUGGUUCAAUUGCGUGCAAUUCAAUUUGUUGUAGAGAUUGGGAACCAAGGAGAUCAUGGAUUGCUAUUUAGAGCUGGAUGUCUUGUGUAUUAAGGCAAUUGGGAUUUGGAAAUCAUCUCCAAUGAGCAAUAGGGACAAAUUUCAUUGAAGUAUGGACUUCAAGAUUUGCCAUGCCAAUAGGACGCCCUAUCUGGAUUCUCUGGAUUUUGUGGUGCAGUAGGGAAGAUUUCUUCUCUCUAGUCCACUGGUGUCGUACUCUGUGAUGCUUUAUUUGUAUUUGUUUUCCACAUCUUAUUAUUAGCUUAGAAUAUCUAAAACUUCCUUUUUGGCACUGUUUUACUGUUAUAUAUUUUACAAUUUUGUUCUUUUACCCUCUCUUGGAUAUGUCAACUGUGACUUGGGAGAGGCAUCAAGGCUGUUGGAUCAAAUUUGAUAAAGGGAACUUGUGGGUUUUAAAUUCUAUUGUUUCUGGAACUUUUGCAGAUCACGAUCAAGGUCUAGGUCUCCAUUGCCUGUGCGUAAUAAAAGCCCAAAAAGACGCAGUGCUAGCAGGAGUCCAAGUAGAAGCAGGAGCAGGAGCAAGAGUUUGUCCCGGUGAAUUUUGACUGUUAUCAAUCUUUACAGUUGAAGAAGUGGGUGAAGGUGAAUGACACAGAAGCUUUUCUAUUUGAAUUGACAUUUUCAUCGAGAGCACCUGCUUGGUUAAAGUUGUUUAUUCAACUCCUUUGAAUUAAACGUUAGAAUUUUUCCAUGUCAUUUAUUUGGAGAAUUUGAUGAUUGGACCUAGGUUUUUUUUAGUAAUAGACUGUUGAAUAUCAAAUUCCCUGAAUCUAUUAUGAUUGUACUUUAACAUUAUGCAUGCAUGAAUGUUUGGCUUGGUCA